rnacentral:rRNA from 1 species
UACGUAGGGGGCAAGCGUUGUCCGGAUUUAUUGGGCGUAAAGGGCGCGCAGGCGGCCUUUUAAGUCAGAUGUGAAAGGUCUCGGCUCAACCGAGGAGUUGCAUCUGAAACUGGGAGGCUUGAGUGCAGGAGAGGAGAGUGGAAUUCUCGGUGUAGCGGUGGAAUGCGUAGAGAUCGGGAGGAACACCAGUGGCGAAGGCGACUCUCUGGCCUGUAACUGACGCUGAGGCGCGAAAGCGUGGGUAGCGAAC